GAGACCGGUUCCUGAACGCGUGUUUUGCGAGAAGGGUCCGAGAGACCGGUCCCUGGUAGGGAGAGACCGGUUCCCGAACGUUGGUUCUGCGGGGCAGGCUGAGAGACCGGUCCCAGGUGUCGGGGAGACCGGUCCCUCAGCACGAAAACUGCCCAGACCGGGCAGUGCACAGGGUGACUUUUUGAGGGGCUUAUAUGGAUUUUGUUACUUUUAAGGGCCUUAAGGCCAUUUCCUCUCCCUCUCACCCUCAUUUCACUCCCUCACACUCACUCUAGAGAGAGAAAGAGAAGGAGAAGGAGAAGAAGGAGAGGAGAGGAGCUUACUUGGAGGUCUUGGAGCAUUAUCUUCUUCCUCAUUUCUCACCUUUGGUGGUUUGGAGCUUGCGGUUGGAGCCUUGUGGAGGAUCAAACUCUAACCCUACUUGAUUUAGAGCUUCGAUUGGAGCUUCUCUUGAGGUUGGUAACUUGUAUUUCCCAUUUAAUACAAGUUUUUCUAGAUUUUACUAGAUGAAACCCUAGAUUUUGGGAUUUAGGGUUUAUUUUGGGGAUUUUUGAUUUGAGGACUUUGAGACCUAAUUAAUAGGUUUAGAACCUUUAUUUAGGUUGGAUUUGAAGAACUCUAACUCCCAUUUGGAGCUUGAGAGAGGAUUUCUUCACCUAGGUGAGUUUUUCUCCACCUUAGCCUAUGUUGCUUAUUGAUUGAGCUUAGGGUUGAUCGUAAGGGCUAUUGGACACCUUCGUCGGACCUUACGAAGGGUUUCGUUAACCUUUGGUGGGUUUGGCUUCAUUGAAAUGGGAGGAAAUGCCUCCUAUGUGGUUAAAUGUUUUCGUAUACUCUAAAUACAUGCAUAUUCAUGUUCGAUGAAAUUUAUACGAAAUUUAGAAUGCUUAAAACCCCUAUGUUAUGCAUCAUGAAAAAUUGACUCUAUGUUGUAGAGAGAAGAAUAUGUAUUGUUAGUAUGCAUGAGUUUAAUGUUCUAAUGAAUAAUGUAAGAUCAUGUUUCUUGUGCGGAAAAUGAUUAGAAUGACAAGCUUUUAGACUUAUUAUUCACAUUGGGACAUAGUAAGCAAAAGUGUCAUAAAGGGGCACACGAACUAGAAAAUUAUUGAACUGCAACUUAGAGACAUGAUGAUAGGCCACUGAAAAUCUACUAUAUUCCAUGUUUUAGACAUGAUGACAUAGAGAUAGGCCAUUGAGACAGUUACUAUAUUCCGUGUUUUAGACACGAUGACAUAGAGGCAGGCCUUUGGGACAUGUGUUGUAUUUCGGAUUUUAGAUCCGAUGAAACAGUGAUGAACCACUGGGACCUGAGAUGGACUUAUUCGCUUUCAUGCCAUUGUGCUCAUUCUCACAUACUUGUGAGGGUCACUCCCUACAAGUCGGCACUCCGGAGUUAGCGAUCGCGACAUAUGCUCGCUCGUGCGGGAUUAGGCGCCGAAAUGGGAUGCCGUGGGGGAGGCUCAUUCCUAGAGUGGGGAUGUUGACUACCACGGGACCAUUAGGCACGGCGCAAGCCGGACUACCCAGGGGUGGGUCCUACAGGAUUGGAUCAUUGAUGACUUGGCAUACCGAUUGGACAUUGACUAGAAUAGUAAACAAGAGAUUUUACUAUUUAGCUUGUGGACAUCAUGCUAGUGACAUUUUGGUGCAUUCAUGUUAGAAUAGCCCUUUUAUUACUUAUGCAAUUCAUGCUAAGUAGAGAUAUCAUGUUGUAGUAAGUUAUAUGUUUACUCACAUAUCGAUUCUAUUGCUUUUAUUGUUACUUACCUGUUUAGCUCUUUUGGGCCAAGUGGUGCUUUCACUGAAGUCAGUAAUUGCCCGCUGGGAACUAUUAUUUAAUAGUUCUCACGCUCCCUAUUUUAUGGUUCUUUUUCAGAGCCCUCUGCACCGGCGGAGGUACGGGAUCGCGGCAAGGGGAUCGCUAGCUAGAUAGCGAGGAUUUACCGUUGCUUAGGUGGUUUUCUCUCUUUUUGUUAUAGUUGAGAGAGAGUGGGGUUUUGUAUCCAUGUAUAGAGACUACCUAUGUAUUUACUUGUAGCUCUUGUUUCGAGAUUCUUUUUGUACUACUUUAUGUUUUCAUCUAGUGGAUUUUAGUUUUGUGGUUCUUAUCCUCUGUUGUAGCAUCUAGAUAUACUUGCUCUGAUACUCCUAGAUGUUUUCUUUUUACUGCUUCCUUUAUCGUUUUGUUUUAGACGCCUUAUUGUUUUAGACAUAUGGUGGGUUUGGACACGCGCCGGGCGGGCUUCCGCUGGGUCCCGGGGCGUGAUAGAUUAGUUUGGUAUCAGAGCCUAGGGCUGAGUUUUAGUGGACCUAGCAAACCUUAUGCCGGUUGGACUAUAGGAAAUAGGCUCGUGAGAGACGAGAUCUUUUUGACUUGUAAGCGAAAGUAUUUUGAUUGGGUAUCUUGGUAACUCUAGAAAGUGGAGUUAAAUCGAAGUGUAUAGCUCCUAACUUCGCGGAGGGUUACGUUGGCGGCCGACAACGUAACAUCGGGAGUUUGUAGUGAAGCACACUUCAUUACUUUCGCAGGAUUUGGGGCAUUACCUUCUUGAGUGGGGAUUUAAUGGCGUGAGUUUACUAACUUACGAUUCUAUGAUGUUGUAGUGAGAUGCGAGACCUUUGCAAAUUGUGAGGUUCAAGUGUUUGAUAUGGAUCCCGAACUUUUCCACACUUGGUGGAAGGUCGUUGAUGGUAUUCCGACCUAAAAGUUCGAUUCCUGGAGUUUUGACAUUGUCCUGAGAGUUUUCACUCUCGGGGACCGAUUCCUGAUGGGAAAGACCGGUCCCCUCAGCACAGUGUCGCGGCCAGCUUGAGGAGGUCGAGACCUCUGCUACAUCCGGAUCUGGCGAGGUCCAGGAGUUGAGGAGCCAGCUUGCGGCCCUCACCGACUUAGUGACUCAGCAGGCGGAGGCGGCACGACAGCAGACUGAGGCGACGCGCUGGCAGGAGGCGCGGAUUAAACGCCUGGAGGACCUUCUUCUGCAGCAGGCGACAGUUUCCAGAGAGACGCAGGACCCUACACCGCCCGCACCAGUUGUGGACGUCGCGCCUACAGCGCUGUCCCCUGCGCCCAGUUCGUCGCGUGCGGCGCCCUUGGCCGUGCCUCAGGAGGAGGCUAUUGUGGCACCACCUGUGCAGAGACCCCCGGUUGGAGCAACUUUCCCUACCUUGGUCGAGGGAGCGGAGCGGGACAGACUGAUGGAGCGCCUCAACGAGUUCAGGAGGUGCAGUCCCCAGAUCUUCGACGGCGAGAAGGUCGACCAUUGGAUCAUGGAGAAGUGGUUGAUGCAUAUGGAGAAACUCUUCCACGACACCUUCGUGGAGGAGAGAGAUCGAGUUUGGCUCGCCACUCACUAUUUGGACGGCGAGGCCUAUCGCUGGUGGUUGGAUCUUCAGGAAAACCUCAGCACCGACUUGGCAGCUAUUACUUGGAAGAAGUUCAAGGAGCUUCUGUUCGCGCACUACUUCUCAACCAGCGUUAAGAGGAAGAUGGAGCAGGAUCUGCGCAACUUGCGCCAAGGUGAUCGGACAGUAGUCGAGUACGAGCGAGAGUUUUCUCGGCUUCUACACUGCGUGCCUUUCGUCAUGCGGGACGAUGAGGACAAGGCCCGCAUCUUCGAGCGAGGGUUGCGACCGUCGAUCUUCCGGUUUGUGCAAUCCUCUAACCUCCAAACCUACCGGGAGGUGGUGGAUCGCGUGCUCAUCGUGGAGAACGGCGCGGCAGACGUCCAGGAGCGGCGAGAGGUGAUUAACAAGGGUAAGGCCAAGAGGCCCGCGGCUGAGGGUGCGGGCGAGACGCACUCUAGGAGGCCGCCGAAAUACCCUAGGAGCCAACAGCGUGGGCGCGGCCCGGCAGCGUAGCGUGGAGGUUCUAAUCGACGCCGACCUCCCCAGUGCGUGAUCUGCGGUGGUCCUCACACUCCACCGCAGUGUCCACAGCGGGGAGGCAGGUCCUACUUGUGUAGCCAGGAGGGCCACUUCCGGACUGAGUGCCCGAGGAGAUCGUCAUCGGCACCAUCGACUGCAUCGGCACUUGCUCUACCAGCCGCUAGCCACGGGACUCCGUCGACACAGUACCAGCCUGGGCGGCCACCCGUCCAGCGCUAGAGUGAGGGUUCUCGACAGGCUCCGAGUGGGCGUAUGUAUACCGCUCAGACCGAGGAGGCGGCAACAGCCGAGGAUGUGGUUGCAGGUAUCAUUUUACUUGAUGGCAUUAGAGUUCGUGCUUUAUUUGAUACCGGUGCAUCGCAUUCAUUUAUAGAUCGGCUAUUUGCCGAGUUGCAUGGCAUCUCUUGGGUUUCUUUGUUGCAUCCGGGACAUGUUGUAGUACCCGACCACACUCUGGAUAUUAGAGAGUAUUGCCCUAGCUGCCCUGUUCGGGUAGGGGAUUGGAUCAUGCCCGUGGAUUUGCUAGCUCUGCGCAAGCUCGAGGAUUUUGAUGUGGUCUUGGGUAUGGAUUGGCUAACCAAGUAUUAUGCCACGAUUGAUUGUAAGAAUCGCACGGUUACUUUUAGAGAACCGGGGCAGACUGAGGUAGUGUUUAGAGGAUGUCGGAGUUUGCUUUUUGCGAUGUCGAUCAGCUCGUCUCGAGCACGGCAGCUGAUCAGCCGAGGAUGUGUAGCCUACUUGGCUAGUGUUGCGUUGAGGGGCGAGGAUGACACCCCUAGGAUUGAGGAUGUCCCGGUGGUACGGGAGUUUCGGGACGUGUUUCCAGCUGAGCUACCGAGUAUGCCACCCGAUAGGGAGAUCGAGUUUGUGGUUGAUCUCACCCCUGGGACUACUCCAAUCUCGAAAGUGCCCUAUAGGAUGGCACCGGCGUAGCUAAAGGAGCUUAGGGCACAGCUACAGGAUCUGUUGGAUAAGGGCUUCAUUCGACCGAGCGUCUCGCCGUGGGGAGUGCUAGUUCUGUUCGUCAAGAAAAAGGACGGAUCAUUUCGCCUUUGUGUGGACUAUUGUGAACUCAAUAAAGUCACGAUCAAGAAUAAGUAUCUGUCGCCGAGGAUCGAUGAUUUGUUUUAUCAGCUUCAAGGAUCGUAUGUGUAUUCCAAGAUAGACUUGCAGUCGGGAUACCACCAGUUAAAGAUCAAACCCGAGAAUGUAUCGAAAACAGCUUUUAGAACACGGUAUGGACAUUAUGAGUUCAUAGUUAUGCCGUUUGGGCUUACUAAUGCCCCGGCAGCUUUUAUGGAUCUUAUGAACCGUAUUUUCAAGCCUUACUUGGACAGAUUUGUCGUGGUGUUUAUCGACGAUAUUUUUGCUUAUUCCCGAAGUGACGCGGAUCACGAGGAGCAUUUGAGGCUUGUACUUCAAAUACUUUGGAAAAAGGAGCUUCAUGCCAAGUUGAGAAAGUGUGAAUUUUCGCUUCGAGAGGUAGCCUUCCUUGGACAUUUCAUAUCGGGAUCGGGUAUAGCCAUGGAUCCUAAGAAGAUUGAAGUAAUCAAGGAUUGGCCGAGACCGACGAGCGUCACGGAGAUACGGAGCUUCCUUGGAUUUGCCGGUUACUACCGGAGGUUUGUUGAGGGAUUUGCUAAGCUAUUUACUCCCCUCACGAGGCUCACGCAUAAAGGUGUCAAGUUCAUCUGGAAUGAUGCGUGUGAGAGAAGCCCAAGAGCUGAAGCAACGAUUGACGACCGCCCCUAUCCUAACCUUGCCAGUUGCUGGAGCAGGGUAUGUGGUUUAUAGUGAUGCUUCACUUAAUGGAUUGGGUUGUGUGUUGAUGCAGGAUGGCAAAGUGAUCGCGUAUGCUUCGCGCCAACUGAAGGAAUAUGAAAAGAAUUACCCUACGUAUGAUUUGGAGUUGGCGGCCGUAGUCUUCGCAUUGAAGUUAUGGCGCCACUACUUAUAUGGCGAGCGGUGUGAAGUAUACACGGAUCACAAGAGCUUAAAGUAUUUGUUUACUCGGAAGGAGUUGAACUUGAGACAGCGCAGAUAGUUGGAGCUGCUCAAGAAUUAUGAUUUGACUAUCCUUUACCAUCCGGGCAAGGUUAACGUGGUGGCGAAUGCGCUAAGUAGGAAAUCAACAGAAAACUUAGCAAUGCAUGUUGUUACUCAACCGCAAUUGAUCGAGCAGAUGAAGCGGCUGGAGUUGGAGGUAGUGACUCCUGACACGCCUGUGAGGUUAAUGACUUUGGUGAUGCAACCUACACUCUUGGAUAGAAUUAAAGAGAAGCAAGCUUCCGAUGUGGAGUUGCAAAAGAUUAAAGGUAAAAUGGUUGAUGGUUGCAUCGGCGAUUUCAUUGUGGAUGACCAAGGAUUAAUGCGUUUCCGUGGACGGAUUUGUGUAUCGGCAGAUCCGGGAAUUAAGGAGGAUAUUCUUCAAGAAGCGCACCGAGCGCCCUAUUCUAUACAUCCGGGAGCCACCAAGAUGUAUAAAGACUUAAAGUUGCUCUAUUGGUGACCUGGGAUGAAAAAGGACGUUGGCGAGUUUGUAGCUCGAUGUCUGACUUGCCAACAAGUGAAAGCUGAGCACCGAUUACCCGCGAAAAAGCUUCAGAGUUUGCCUAUCCCCGUGUGGAAGUGGGAGAAGAUCACCAUGGACUUCGUGACUGGAUUGCCCCGCUCCCAGGCCGGGCAUGAUGCUAUAUGGGUGAUCGUGGAUAGGUUGACGAAGUCGGCGCACUUCAUACCUAUUCAUACUACUUGGAUCGGAGAAAAGCUCACAUAAGUGUACCUUGACGAGAUUGUGCGACUCCAUGGAGUGCCUACAUCGAUCGUAUCGGAUCGAGACAGUCGGUUUGUGUCUCACUUUUGGAGGAGUCUACAGGACGCCCUAGGCGCUCGACUGGACUUUAGUACUGCUUUCCACCCCAGAGUGAUGGGCAGUUGGAGCACACCAUUCAGACUUUAGAGGAUAUGCUCCGAGCAUGUGUGAUAGACUUCCAGGGAGGAUGGUCGCAGCAUCUACCGAUGGCGGAGUUUGCUUAUAACAACAGUUAUCAAGCAAGCAUCAAGAUGACGCCCUUCGAAGCACUCUAUGGACGGAAGUGUAGAUCGCCACUUCAUUGGAGUGAAGUUGGCGAGAGAUUGGCGUUAGGCCCUGAUGUGCUCCAGGAAGCUGAGGACAAAGUUCGAAUUGCUCGGGAGCGACUUUUGAUGGCACAGAGUAGACAGAGGAGCUACGCUGACCGACGACGGCGAGACUUGGAGUUCCAAGUUGGAGACCAUGUUUUCUUGAAGGUCUCGCCGACUAGAGGGAUCAAGAGAUUCGGGAUUCGGGGUAAGUUGAGCCCCCGUUUCAUUGGACCGUAUGAGAUUUUGGAACGUGUAGGUCCGGUAGCGCAUCGACUUGCUCUACCACCGAACUUAUCGGGCGUGCACAACGUUUUUCAUGUAUCGGUCCUUCGGAAGUAUGUUUUCGACCCAACUCAUGUGCUGGAUGCCACACCUGUGGAGUUGCGGGACGACUUGAGCUUCGAGUAGCAACCAGUGAGGAUCUUGGCUCGUGAGGUGCGGAAACUGCGGAAUCGGGAUAUUUCGUAUGUGAAAGUUCUUUGGAGCAACCACGGGGAGCGGGAGGCCACGUGGGAGCUAGAGAGCGUGCUGCGGGAGCGCUAUCCCCAUCUUUUUCAUAUGGAGCUUUGAGGUAUGUGCUGUUGCUUUGAGUUUUGCGGACGAAACUCCUUUUUAGAAGGGGUGAAUGUAGCACAAUGGACCUUUGCAAAUUGCGAGGUUCGAGUAUUUGAUAUGGAUCCCGAACUUUUCCACAUUUGGUGGAAGGUCGUUGAUGGUAUUCUGACCUAAAAGUUCGAUUCCUGGAGUUUUGACAUUGUCCUGAGAGUUUUCACUCUCGGAGACCGGUCCCUGAUGGGAGAGACCGGUCCCCUCAGUACAGUGUCGCGGCCUGCUUGAGGCAACUGGUCCUUGGUUGUGAGAGACCGGUUCCCGAACGCGUGUUUUGCGAGAAGGGUCCGAGAGACCGGUCCCUGGCAGGGAGAGAUCGGUUCCCGAACGUUGGUUCUGCGGGGGAGGCUGAGAGACCGGUCCCAGGUGUCGGGGAGACCGGUCCCUCAGCACGAAAACUGCCCAGACCGGGCAGUGAACAAGGUGACUUUUUGAGGGGCUUAUAUGGAUUUUGUUACUUCUAAGGGCCUUAAGGCCAUUUUCUCUCCUUCUCACCCUCAUUUCACUCCCUCACACUCACUCACAAGUGGGCACUCCGGAGUUAGCCAUCGCGACAUAUGCUCGCUCGUGCGGGAUUGGGCGCCGAAAUGGGAUGCCGUGGGGGAGGCUCAUUCCUAGAGUGGGGAUGUUGACUACCACGGGGCCAUUAGGCACGGCGCAGGCCGGACUACCCACGGGUGGGUCCUACAGGAUUGGAUCAUUGAUGACUUGGCAUACCGAUUGGACAUUGACUAGAAUAGUAAACAAGAGAUUUUACUAUUUAGCUUGUGGACAUCAUGCUAAUGACAUUUUGGUGUAUUCAUGUUAGAAUAGCCCUUUUAUUACUUAUGCAAUUCAUGCUAAGUAGAGAUAUCAUAUUGUAGUAAGUUAUAUGUUUACUCACAUAUCGAUUCUAUUGCUUUUAUUGUUACUUACCUGUUUAGCUCUUUUGGGCAUAGUGGUGCUUUCACUGAAGUCAGUAAUUGUCCACUAGGAACUAUUAUUUAAUAGUUCUCACGCCCCCUGUUUUAUGUUUCUUUUUCAGAGCCCUCUGCACCGGCGGAGGCACGGGAUCGCGGCAAGGGGAUCGCUAGCUAGAUAGCGAGGAUUUACCGUUGCUUAGGUGGUUUUCUCUCUUUUUGUUAUAGUUGAGAGAGAGUGAGGUUUUGUAUCCAUGUAUAGAGAUCACCUAUGUAUUUACUUAUAGCUCUUGUUUCGAGAUUCCUCUUGUACUACUUUAUGUUUUCAUCUAGUGGAUUUUAGUUUUCUGGUUCUUAUCCUCUGUUGUAGCAUUUAGAUAUACUUGCUCUGAUACUCCUAGAUGUUUUCUUUUACUGCUUCCUUUAUCGUUUUGUUUUAGACGCCUUAUAUGUUUUAGACAUAUGACGGGUCUGGACACGCGCCGGAUGGGCUUCUGCUGGGUCUCGGGGCAUGACAAUUAUGGACAGCACAUAAGUAAUUCCUGGAUUAGAAGUGAAAUUAGAUGAGAAGCCAUGCAAUUCCUGGUUAUGAAUUAACCAAAGAAAGGUUGAGUUUGAAACUUUUAGAUGUUAGAGUUUGUAUUGCUAUGUAGGAAACUUAAAGGCUAUACUUUGGGCAGCAUAAGUGAAGGUUAUUGAUUAGAAAUGAAAACUUGAUGAGAGGUAUAUGAAGCAGUAAACUUCAGGUUUUGGUUGUUGGAGAGGAAAAUUGAGGUUAGCUGCUAUGUUAAGAGUUGAGCUAAGAAUUAUUGGUUGCUUUGAAGCUAGUUCUAGGUAGUUAAAGCUUGUAUUAGCUUAUAGAAACCUUGAAACUAUACAAGACUGCAUAUAUGUGUAGGAAUGUAAAGUAUCAUGUUUCUUUAAAAAGGGAUGUUGAGUUUAAUUUAAAAAAUGGUGGAAUAAAGGAUUUCUCAUGUGCUGAAAUUCUAAACAUCAUGGAGAACUUAUAGAAUUAGUUCUAUGUAUGUAUGUAUGUAUGUAUAUACAUAUAGAUGUAUAUGUACAUAAUGGUUAGGAAUGAAACCUGGGUUAAAUUAACUUAAUUUUUGAAUUAGAAUGAUGUUAAUUGCUGUAAUGAAGUUGAAUUAGGAGAUUGCUAGAGUUUCUACUUGUUAUGAAACCUAGGGAAUAAGCUCUAUAUUACGUAUUGAGUAGUAUACAUGUAUGUAAAAUGAGCAACUUGAGUAGGUUAAUUGUAAUUCCUUGUUUGGAAUCAUUGUAAGUAACCAGGAAUAAAGGUUCAGUUUGUAAAUUCUAGAUCACUAGCACCUGAAUUAUUGUUGGAAUUUAAAGCAGAACGAAGCUAUAAUAGUACUCCACGAGUAAAUUGGGUUAUAUAUAUAUGCAACUUGGAGUUGAAAUGCGAAGUUUGUAAAAAUGUGAAUAUGACUUAAGUUUAAUCCCUUUUUUUCCUCUAGGAAGGAAAGUUUGACGUGCUCGUAAGUUCAAAUUAAUAUUCCGACGGACCUACGACGCGCUAAUUAAGAAAUGCUUCGUUCUAGCUCUAUUUACAUCGAGUCGCGAGAGCUCGUGGUUGAUACGUUCUGAGACGUUGGUUCUGGUUUGUUGGCAACCCUACAGGUGGGUGGUGCUAUUCGAAGUCUUCGAAUCCCUCCUUAUGUCUAUGUCAUCUCGUUGAGCAUCUCUAUAUAUGUGAAUUGUAUCCUAUUAAUGCAUUAUAGGGAAAAUGUUAUUAUACAAUUGAAUUCUGUUAAUGUAAAGAACAUGUGGACGUUAGAACAUGAACAUAGAACCCUAUGAAUGUAUGAAUUAGUAAUGGACUAUGACCAUAGUAAACUUGGUGACAUUGUGACUAGAAGUAUUAGUUAGCAUCAACAUUGGAACUGUAAAAUCUAGCAUAAAGAGCUAGUUAGAAAUUAAAUUGUGGCAUCGUCAGUUAUUGAAUCCUCUAAGUGAGGAUUGGAUUAUACUCACCUAUUCUGUUUCGGCUUAGUGGUGGUCGCUCCCCCCAAGCAGUGCACUCCGGAGUGUGUCAUUCACUGGGUUGAUCGUAUAAGCCUUCCCAGUAGACGAUCCCAUCGGGAGGCAGCUUAGGGCCCGAAUACUCUAAGUGAGGAUUGGAUUAUACUCACCUAUUCUGUUUCGGCUUGGUGGUGGUCGCUCCCCCUAAGCAGUGCACUCCGGAGUGUGUCAUUAACUGGGUUGAUCGUAUAAGCCUUCCCAGUAGACGAUCCCGUCGGGAGGCAGCUUAGGGCCCGAUACUUAGGGAUUGCGUUGGUGAGUUAUAGUUAACCAAAUGAUUAACCAGAUGGAUUGGGUAUUGAUUAUUCAUAGCAUGCAUGCAUAAAUUUCAUAUAUUAUCUACAGUUUCUUUCAGCUUUGUACAAGCAUUGUAGUAGUUACAUGUUAUAGCUGGUUCUUAUCUAUUUACUUUUCUUGCCUACAUAUGCCUGAAUAGAUCUAGUGGGUGAGUCGGCGAGGUCGGCGGCCGAACCCACUGGAAACUUUUAGUAGUUCUCACACCACUAACCUUACAGGUCCUAGCGCGAGCAGUGUGGCCGACGAUCGCAGCAAAAGGCCGGCAUCUUAGCUAGUGGACUCCCAAGUAUAGUUAUAUAUCCAUUUUGGUUUCAUGUUUUACAUAUUUGUUGAAAUGUAAGCAUGUAAAUGAAUGUAUAAAAGAGCAUGUAAAUAACUAAAUGUCUCAGUUAUUCAGUUUUUACAGUUUAGUUUAAAGUUUUGAAAAUACAGUGAAUACAUGUUUAGUUAGAGUACUAUCACUUGUUCUUGUUGUUUGCCCUCGUGCAAGCCAUGUAUACUGAAAUAUUAUCCUGAGAAUUAUUUAUUUCUUUAUACAUGUACUCAUUGUUGUUGAGCCUUGGGUGGACAGGGAAGAUGCUGUCCGUUCAGCGUCUGUGUACGGGCCCGAAUCGACCAAAUUGGCGAUAGCGGGACGUGACAUAUACCGUUAAACUAGUAAGUAUCUCAUACUAGCUGUUAAAAAUUGUCAAAUUUGUGACCUCUUGAUUGUAAGGUAAAUAAUGUCAAAAAAUUAUAAAAUUUGAUUUCUAGAAGUUUUAAAUGCUGUAAAUAAUGUUUAACGGUGUGGAUCGUCGAUUCGGAAGCUGUAAUACCCUUCAUUUUGAGUUUGUCAAGGGGCAUAGUGGUCAUUUUUUUUGGAUAAGAAUGCCACCGCCCUUUUCAUGUUUAUCCCUUCAAAUUAACAGAGAGUGUGCACUUUUUGUUCUCUCUAGUUAAUUACGUGCAUGGUGGAGAGCACGGGUAGAGGGGCCGAGGAGCUCGGAUUCGACGCCGACGACGCGCCGCGAAGCCGUUCGAGGGUACGGUUGGGAUCGUAGCGCUGCGAGGAAGCUAGGCGAGGGUGUGUUUUCGCCGUUCUCGACGCCACGUCGAUGUCCGAUUAGCCAUUGAGGUGAGUGUUCCGUUGCAUUGCUUCAAGUAUUAUCAUUUCGAGCUUGGUGCUGAUUUGCAGAAUUUCCAGCGUCGACCGUCGGUAUUUCAAUUCGUACUCGGCGUAGGAGCGUCGGUUUUCGACGGGACUUGGUUCGUUGGAUUCGGGACUUCGAGAGGAAUCCACGAAGCCCUUACUUGCUGGAUUUGGUAAAGGUUUGCUAGGUCAGAAUUUCGCGUCUUCUCUGUUGCUGUUUUUGAAGCAGAAUUAAUGUUUAUUGUCGGAUCUCCGUGUAGAGUUUGGGCGGGAGCUUGACUUCGGGGCCUUGGGGGUUUCGGAGCGUUUCGGCAGGUUGUUCCGCAGCCGAAGGGAAGUUCCGUCGCUGCACGAUAUUAUGCGAUCGAGGUGGGUUACAUUCGGGAACCCUUAGUUCUAAUCGUCGACAUAUAUAGUUUUUCAAUUUUUGGAUAAUCUAUUCUAGCUCGAAUUCAUGGUUAAAUGGUAGACUGCAUAUCUGAAUUGGAGAUGUGGUAAUAAAUGAAUAGUUAUACAUGUUGCGACUUGAAAAUUUUUUUGGGGGAAUUAGGAGAAAAACUUGCCGAUUUGGACCUUCAACUUGAUUAAAACUGCCUGAUUUAGCCUUAGGAGCCGUUAUUAAAAUUGUACUGCGCAAGUAUCUCGAGCGAGACUCUAGGGCGUUUAGUAGACAUUUACGCUCGUGCCUGGUAUAGCCGACGUUGAAUCUUUUAACAAUGUUGUUCAGGUGUUGCCGCGACUGUGGGAUAGCCGGUCAGAGUGACGGGGGACCCGUAUCGCCUUUUUGGCGUCAGCAUUUGGCUGAGGGCACGUACUUGUUGGUUGUUGUUUUGACCAGUUAAUAGAGUCGAUUUUCUUGACUUUGGCUUUUCAGAGCCUGUUUUGGAGCUCGACAGAGAUACGCCUGCAUACUUCGGUUGGUAGCGCCCACGAGUGCCACUCCGGAGUCGGCUUUGUGCUUUCGCGUGUGAGUGCUCGCUCAUGCCAGUUGGACUUGCUCUUCCGCGACCAAGUAGUGGGAUUUAGAGCCCCGAACGCAACGGCAGGACGGGUGUAUUCACAGUCCCGGACGGGUAUGCUUACAGUCCCGGAUUGGAUUUGGGUCAGAAGUUGAUAUUUUUCUACAGUGUAGUGGUAGGCAUGAUUAGUGUAGCUGAUCGAUCGCGUUUAGAGUUAUUCCUGCUUUUUCUGACUAUGUUUACUCCCUUCUGAGACUCAGUAUGGUGACGAAUGUUUGUUUUGGGCGGUACCCACUGAGAAUAAUUGUUUACGAGUAGCGUCCACGCCCCAGUUGCUUACCUGAUGUGUUUGCCAGAGCAUAGUUCCGGCUGCUGCACACGUCGCGGACCAGGAAGGAUCGAGGCAAGGGGUCAGCGAGCUUCUUAGAGCCCUACUCGACGGUGCGCGGAGCUAGAGGUGCCGCCUGACGCAGGUAGGAUGUUUGUGUUCGAGUUAUUACAUAGUUCUGACUUAAGCCGCCAGUCGGCGAGUAAGUCUUGUAUUUGAUGGACUAUGUAUAUGGAACUCAACGUUAGCUUCCUGUUUUCUCUAGCAGCUCUCUACUAGCUGUCGUAGUAGUGUCUUGAUUCUUACAGGGUACAGCUCUGUCGUUCGUAACAGGAGAAAUUUUCUUUGUAUACGGCGAUUUUUGUCGGCGGUGCCGGGAACGCAGAACGAUCGGGGGUGACAGAAGCGGUCUAUCGAUCGAAAACGAAACUAUGGUACCGAGGGCAAUCUACUCAUAAUAUCAUUAGUAUCCGCGACCCUAAUAUAAUAUGUUACGUAUAUGAAUAAUAUAUAUUAUAUAUAUAUAUAUCAGUCGUUUUGGUCGGGUACCGAUGAGUAUGUCCAGCUCAACUCUUAUCUCUCUCGUCUCUUUCUCUCUCUCUCUCUCUCUCUCUAUAUAUAUAUAUAUAUAUAUAUAUAGAGAGGGAGAGAGAGAGAAAGGGUUGAGCUGGAAUGCCAUUGGUAGGAAACGGUCUUCGUUGCCACCUAUUUGUUUUCGAUAAUGGAGCCUCCAAAUUGACGAUCGGUACCGUUGAAUAUGAUCUAUACCACUUGAAGCAUCUAGAAACCAAAUUUCAUGCUUUUCCGAUAUUGUUCUCUUGUCUAUCAAGUGGGCACAAAAUGAAUAGCUGAAAAUGAAUAUUUUUUAAAAAGUGAUAAUAGGAAUUUGCUAAUCAAGAUCAAGAGUAUAGAUCUUAUUCUAAAUAGUUUAAAAAAUUUUCUAACCAAAAUUCAAUCGAUUUGGAUAUCUUUACACCGUUAAACUAGAAAAUGUCUCAUAUCGACCAUUAAAAUUAUAAAUUUUGAAACCCUUUGAUCAUUAGUUCAAUGAUGUCAAAAAGAUUUGAAAUUUGGCUUCUAGAUACUUCAAGUGGUAUAGAUCAUGUUCAAUGGUGUCGAUCAUCGAUUUAGAGGCUCCAUCAUCGAAAACAAAUGGGUUGCAACGGAGCCCAUUUGCUACCAAUAGUAUUCUAGCUCAACUAUAUAUAUAUAUAUAUANCACAGUUACUCGGUUUGUGCUUUCUCGAUCGCGACUGAGCACAAGCCGAGCAAAGUAUUUGCUCGGCUUGUGCUCGAUCGAACAAUUUCAUAGCUCAGCUUUUUAAGUCGGGCACAAACUUGCGUUCGACCGAAUACUUGUUGUUCAACUUUCCUAAUCUUUACUAUAUAUAUAUAUAUAUAUAUAUUUUAUUAUUUAAAUACUCUAGAAUGGGUAAUUUGAAACUAGAUUACCAACUUUGAAAUAUAUAUUUACCCGAAAAAAUAUUAAGUUAACCCGAAAUAUAAUUCCAACCCGAUUUCAAAUUUAGUAUUUUUAAAUAUAUAUAUAUAUAUAUAUAUAUAUUUCUCUCUCUCUCAGGCCGACGAUACGAUAGUUAUGGUUGUUUGUAAACCAUGAUAGUUCAAAAGACGGCAAUCUAAUUGAGGAAACUAAUAAAAAUGGGCAAUCUAAUAUGAUAAGUUGGUUGGUAUGUGAGUUGGGAUUCCCCGGGUGUAGUAGGAUUGGCGUGUAAAGAGGCAGGUUCCCGAUUUUUUGAUUAUCGUGGUUAUUGAACCACGAUAACUAUCGUAAGGUUGGAUCAAUAUAUAUAUAUAUAUAUAUAUAUAUAUAUAUAUAUAUAUACCCAACUUCAACAGCAUCAUAUCUAAUAGCUUGACCGAACAUAUGUCAUGCCCUGGCGUCCCUUUUUGAUUUAAAACUCACUACAAAAGUGCCCAAUUUUUUUUUUCUUUUUGAAAACCUUGAUCCCAAGGUAUGCCAAAUCCGCCAAAAAUAUAGAGAGUUCACUGUUCGCACAGACAGAGUUUCCCCUAUAUUUGCACGGCGUCGCACAAGUACAAGAUACAACCACACACAUAUGAAUAUCCAUAUAUAUUCACCAUUCACAUCCGCAUUCAUUUCAUCACAAAUAUUCAUAUAUCCACAUCUAUUAGUUUAAAAUGUUUCCUAUCUGGAAACUCAUUUUGAAACACUAAGUCAUAAAAAUCAAGAAAACCUUUUUAAAACCCUUUCCCACCUGAAAACCUUUUUCUUUUAAAAACGCGCCACCACGAGGGAUAGAAAAUCAUUUCCAUUUCGUAAGAAAUCCAUAAAUCCUUUAUUACAUUCACAAAAUCCCAAUUAUUCAAAUAAAGAAAACCACUGAAUCAAUAAGUCUAAGUUAAUUAUUUAAAAGACGAGUUUGAGAAUUUAACCAAAGCUACGGGCCGAUGGAUCUAUCGAAUGCUAAGCUGCGCACCUCACGAACCAUCCCGACUCGGACCCGCGAUGUCACCUGAAAGAGGGUGGGGGGUGAGAACAUGUACAUGUCUUCCCUCCCAGUGGGUACCGCAAGUCGACAAGGGCGAGGGUACUCACCGGUCAAGGAGGAUAAACAACAGUAUAGCUAAUGGUAGUACAGUAGCCAUGAUAAACAAGGAAACGAGAUAUAUAUAUAUAUAUAUAUAUAUAUAUAUAUAUAUAUAUAUAUAUAUAUAUAUAUAUAUAUAUAUAUAUAUAUAUAUAUAUACGAAUCACUACCGCUACUGUAUGUAUGCAUCAACCGGACGACAAGUCCAAAAGUAACCCAAUCAGGAACCUGCCAUAUUGGUCAACAGACCUCAAGCGUGUGCCACUGCCACUCUACCUGCAUAUAACCUAGUUCUGACCGCUGGGCUCACGGGCUGGCACAUCCAACCACUCUUUCGAAAAAGAACACUCUCUUGCGGUGGAUCAGAUCGUUGGUAUUCGUGAAAUGCAUACGAGUAGUGGCGAUCGAUGCUGAUAUGCUUAAUAGCCAACCGUCGGCAACUAGCCGACAAUUUCACCCCUCAAGGUAUACCGACCGUACAGGUCACUAAGUAGUCCAACCGACCAAAUAUGUCAUAAUGCUCGAUGCAAUAAACUGACCGAAUGGGUCAUAGUACAAGAUACAAGAACCGACCGACUAGGUUACAAAUCUCACAUGUAAUUAUAAACCUGCUGUACUUCUACUCAUGAUGCUAGAUAUGUAAACAAACCAAGUAGAGCGAUAAAGAGGUAAUAAAGGUGCAAGGCUCAACAUAUAAAUGCAAUAAUGAUAGUAGGAGAAGGGUGGAAAGGAUGUCACCGAGCGUGCACUAUUGUACCGACUUUGGGUCGAAGUACCCACAUUUAUGUAUGUAGCACUGGUCUCCCGACUGCGGAAGAAUAUCAACAGGAUCUAUGAAGGGUCCACCGGGUUAGAAUCCAACCCACGAAUAAGAACCACUAACUCACACUCCCUCCUGUAAACCCGCGGGAAUCGGUUUCCCCUACAACGAUUACCAUAACUCGCUGAAAGUCCCGAAAAUCGCACUGAGACUGCGCCAGGACCCACGAACUGUCCCGGAACUCACCGACUUGUGCCACGAGUCACCAGCUACCACUAAACAUGGUAAUUUGUGUGACCUGGCGGCAAACACAUCUCCUCACAUCGAAACGAUUAUCGUCGGAUAAUCAUUCCGAUCCGGGUCCUCAGAAGUGUCAAUUUUGACACCGAAACCCAUCGUCACUCACCCGUCAAUUCCGAACCCUCGAAAUAAUGCGAGUGACUAGCUAACAAGGCUUAGCGACCAUAUGAUUUUCCAUGAGGCAUCGUCGGAAGAAUUCCGAACUGAAACCGCGUUCCGUCGGCGGAUUUCGCCAAAAAACGCACCGAAAAGCAACAUCUAAUUUCCAAAAAGGCCCGGGGCCUUGGACAACCAAUCUAGAGGUCACCCGCUGCCCGCACACACUGCCCACAGCAGCCACGAAUGCAAAUAAGCCCCCGCGACUACAUAAAAUCACAUCAUUUUAUGUGAUUUUCGAGGUUUUAUGGCCCGACAGCGCAAACCAAAGACAUUCGAGCUUGGCUGAGACACCCGCUGACAGGUCUUGAGUUUACCAUUAUGCCGUUUGGGCUUACUAAUCCCCCGACAGCUUUUAUGGAUCUAAUGAGCCGUAUUUUUAAGCCUUAUCUAGACAGGUUCGUCGUGGUGUUCAUCAGCGAUAUUUUGGUUUAUUCCCGAAGUGAUAAGGAUCACGAGGAGCAUUUGAGGCUUGUAUUUCAAAUGCUUCGGGAAAAGAAUCUCUUUGCCAAGCUGAAGAAAUGUGAGUUUUGACUUCGAGAAGUUGCAUUUUUGGGACACUUGAUUUCGAGAUUGGGUAUAGCCGUGGAUCCGAGAAAGAUUGAAGCUAUCAAAGAUUGGCCUAGAUCGACGAGCGUCACCGAGAUUCGAAGUUUUCUUGGACUAGCCGGCUACUACCGGAGAUUUGUUGAGGGGUUUGCAAGGUUAUCUACUCCUCUCACGCGGCUCACGCAUAAGGGCACUAAGUUCAUAUAGAAUGAUGCGUGCGAAAGGAGCUUCCAAGAGUUAAAGGAACGGUUGACGAGCCCCGAUCUUGGCCUUACCAGUUUUUAGAAUAUACCAAUGGAUAUAUAUAUAUAUAUACUGAUGUGUGUGUGUGUGUGUGUGUUGUGUGUGUGUGUGUGGUGUGUGUGUGUGUUGUAUAUAUAUAUAUAUAUAUAUAUAUAUAUAUAUUAUAUGUAUGUAUGUAUGUAUGUAUGUAGGUGUAUAUAUAUAUAUUAUAUUGUGUGUGUGUGUAUUGUGUAUAUAUAUAUAUAUGUGGGUGUGUAUAUAUAUAUAUAUAUAUAUAUUGUGUAUAUAUAUAUAUUGUGUGUGUAUAUAUUAUAUAUGUGUGUGUAUAUAUAUAUAUAUAUAUUAUAUAUAUAUAUAGAGUCCGGCUACUAUACUAUCGAUAGUAUCAAGCACAUAUAUAUAUAUGUGUGUGUGUAUAUAUAUAUAUAUAUAUAUAUAUAUAUAUAUAUAUAUAUAUAUAUAUAUUAUAAUAUAUAUGUUGGGUGUGUGUGGUGUGUGUGUGUGUGUGGUUGUGUUGGCAUUUAAAAAUUCAAAUUCGAAUUUUUAUUUUAUUUUGAAUGUCACGCCCCGGGGUCCCUUUCAGUUUAAAAGAUAGCGGAAAAGUGUCUGAAUUUUUUUUUUUGAAAACUUGACCCAGAGUAUGCCAGAUCCGCCACAAAUACAGAGAUCCACUGUUCACACGGACAGAGUCUCCCUGUAUUUGCACGGCGUCGCACAAGUACAAGAGUACAGCCAGGAUACAACCACCACUAGAGAAAUAUAAAGAUAAUAUACAUUCAUACAUUCACCAUUCACAUCACAGUUUUACAUUCAAUUUUAAACAGAAAUCCACGAAAAAAUCCUUUGAAAACGUUUCCUACACGGAAGCUUUAUUCGUUAAAAAACGCUACCACGAGGGAGAGAAAACCUUUUAUUUUACCAAAAUCCAUAAAUCCGUUUAUUACAUUCACGAAAACUCACAUUUUCCAAAUGUAAAUGAAUACUGAACCAUAAAGCUAACUAUCAACAGAAAUACUAAGGGUAAUAACUAACCAAAAAUAACCUGGGUCGGAGGCUCUAUCGACCGCUACGUAUCUCACGUCUCGUCUCAACCCUCACCGCCGCGAUACUGAAAAAUAGUGGGGGAGGUGAGAACACGUAAACAUGUCUCCCUCCCAGUAGGUACCCGCAAGCCGAAGAAGGCGAGGAGUACUCACCGGAUCAGGAAGAGAUAAACAACAGUAUGGUAAGUAAAUACAGUAGCAACGAUACAUGAACGAAUGAGAUAUAUAUAAAUAUAUAUGAAAGCACAACUACGCUACUGUAAUGUAUAGCUACAAGCAUACAAGAUAUCAAAACUAUAGUAGCAAGACACUGUAAAGAAAGAACUACAAGUAUAUAUGCGACAACCACUACUAUAGCUAUAUGCGUCAACCGGACGAGAAGUCCAAAAGUACCCAAUCUAUACCGCCGUGUCGGUCUAAAGACCUCAGGCAAAAGCCACUACCUGCUCACACCUGGCAUGUAACCCUAGCAGCAAAGAGAACACCGCUGGCUCACGGGUCGGAUGUACGACCACUUUCCGGAAAGAACACCCUCCUGCGGGGAUCAACCCGCUGGUGUACGUGAAAUGCACUCGAGCUGUGGCAUCAAUGCGGAAUGAUAAUAGCAACCGUCGGCAAUCAGCCGACAAUCACCGCCCUCGGGGCAAACCGACCAAUAGGUCGUCAGACUAUAUAGAAGACACAAGAACCGACCACUCAGGUCAACUAGGAUGGAACGACUUGCAUCCUCUCAACUGUAGGUAAGUACGACUAAUCAAGUCAACUGGGAUGGAACAACUCAACAUCUACCAAAGUAUGUUAGAUCUGAUCAAUAGGGCAAACUACUGUAUAUAUGCAAAAUCGAUCAACAAGUCAUCUAGAGUAUUAAUCUAGAACUACGUCGGCCAUGGCGCAAUCCUACCGCCUCAGGGUACACCGACCUCAAAGGUCAUCAAACGACAGAAAGUCAAGAAACAGACAACCCAAUACAUUAAUGCAACAACCGACAACCAGGUCAACAAUAUAAGAUAAAAGCAGCCGAAUCGACUAGAAUCACGAAACGAAGUACGAGAACCGAGCCAAUCAGGUCACCGAAACGAAGUACGAGAACCGACCAAUCAGGUCACCGAACAAAGUACGAGAACCGACCAAUAGGUCACCGGUAUCACAUAUGGAUAAACUACUCUACUCCUAUACAUGAUACUAAGCAUAGAAACAUAUGAGAGAGUAUAAUAGAAACAACGGGGAUGCAAGCUCAUAUAUAUACGAAAAGAUAACAGAAGAACAGGGAUAGAAGGAUAAUAUCACCGAGCGUGCACCACUGUACCGACGUCGGAUCGAAGUACCCACCUGUACAACUGUCGCGUCUGUCUCCUGACUGCAAAAGAACGUCAACCGGACCUAAGGAGGGUCCAGUGGAUUAGUGUCUAACCCACAACUAAGAAACCCUAAAGGCAUAACCCACGACAACCCCACAAACAAUUUCACGAGAAUCGGUUUCCCAAAACCGAUUACCGAACAAACCGGAAGUCCCGAAAACCGCACCGGAACUUCACCGUCGCUCACCCGUCGUUUCCAAACCCACGAAACGACGCGGGUGACCAGCCAACAAGGCUUAGCGACGAAACAACUGAUCCCCAAGUACCGUCGGAGGAAUUCCGAAGCGAAAACGCGUUCUAUCGGCGGAUUUCGCCGAUAAACGCUCGGAAAAUGCAUUUUCGAUCUUCGCAAGGGUCCGGGGCCUUGGACAAUCAGUCCAGAGGUUACCCAUAGCUCACCCAUGCUGCCAACAGCAGCCACGACGGAUCAAAUUGCAUAAAAGCCCUCCCGAUUCCAAGAAAUCACAUUAUUUCAUGUAUUUUUCGGGCUUUUAUGGUCCGUCUACGCAACCCAGAGGUCAUUAAGCCAAACCGAGACACCUACUAACAGGUCUCGGCAUGCCGGAGGCCGUGCUCACCUUUCGGAGCAAUUCCGGCCACUGUGGGAAGCGCACGAGCGACACGAAGUUCAGCCACGUAGCGCGCGCAGCGCCUAAAUCACAUCUAACACGCAAACCGGGGAACCGUUGACCCCGACGGAGGUGAGAACGAUGCUCAGCACGGAGUAACGAUGAUCGUGCUCACUUCCACUGUCAUCGGGGUACUUCGGAUCGCCCGAAAGGUGACCGGAACCAUAAACUACAGUGCUGGAACUAAAAACAGUAGCAUACCGGAGUGCAGGGAGCUAGGGUUGGCCGCCGGCGGCCGGACGGCGGGCGCUCCGGCCGGGGAAUGGUGCGGCACGUCGGAGGGGUCCGGGGCAAGUGCUGGCCGGCGGCGGGUGGCGGCCGGUGGCGCGGCGGAGGAGAUCCAUUCCUCGACUUGCUCUCGGGUUCAAGGGUUCCCGGCGGCGCGGCGGCGGCCGGAGGAUCACGGGACGGCGACGACCCAUCGCCGGAGGUCGAGGGGGAGCCGAAGCGCGUGAUGAUGGGCGGCGGCGGCGCUUGGAAGCCGAGGGGACUCAGCCACGGCCCGCACGGGUCCGGGCGGCCGCAGGAGCUUCGGGUGGCGGCCGGCGGUGGUCGGGGAUGGCCAGGGACGCGCGCCGGAGGUCGCCGGAGGCUGAGGGAUGACGGCGCUGCCGAUCUGGAGUGGCGGCGGCUCGCGGAUGCCGAGGUCUCCCAUUCUCGGUCUGGGUGACCGCGGCUGGCCGCAAGGAGCGAGGCGGCGCCGGCGGUGCGUGCGGGCGGCGACGGCCGGCGGGGACGGCGCCGGGGAGUUCCAGGAAGGUGGCGCUUCCAAUCCCGAGCGGCAGCAGGGCUUGGAGAAGGAGAUCCCGCUACCUCGGCCAGAUCUACUCAGGUUUGGCCGCAACUAGCCAGAGCGGCGGCGACGGCGCUCGGGGGCGGCGGCGACGGCGCCGGAGGUCGAGCCACGGCCGAGGAAGAGGGUCCCAAGGCGUGUGGGUGAUUCCCUGAGGUUUUCGGCUAAGUUUGUUGAGGCAAGAUGGAGAGAAAAGGUGAGAGUAAGGUCGGGUUGGCUCUUCCGGCGGCCGGGGCCUGCGCACGAGCAGGGCAGUGAUGCUCUGAGGUCGGCUAGGGCUAACUGGGAUAGCAAGGAGGCUAGGUCUAGGGUUUCCAUGCAUGAAACCCUAGGUACACUAUAUAUACCAAAGGUUACUUUGCACCAAUGUCCUCCAAAACUGAAUAUUUACUGCCCAGUCCCUCACAAUGCGUGUAUCACGCGUGUACGCACCUCGAUAAUCAAUCUCACGCGAUUCGGUACAUAAAAUAUUAGAUCUUUUCGCGAUUUAACCGUUUUGCCAAUUUGACGUCUCAGCGAUAACUUUGCAAUUACUGGAGAUCCGUCCGUCGGAUUUUCGAUCCGACAGCACCAUUGCGUUCGGCACGUCGGGUGCAUCGAAUCUAGCAUUUUGUUUCGUCCGAUUUGANGUCCGUCGGAUUUUCGAUCCGACAGCACCAUUGCGUUCGGCACGUCGGGUGCAUCGAAUCUAGCAUUUCGUUUCGUCCGAUUUGACCCCCGAUUCAUGACGAAAUCCGUCCGCUCUCCAAUUUCAAAAGCCACACACAUAUAUCAAUGUGUAAUCCCGCUAAAUCCUUAAUUCAAAUUCAAAUUUGAGUCUCCUACCACUAGUAGGUACAUGUAACAUCCCUCACUUUACUCUAGGUCACAUAAACAGAUCACGAGGGGUGUCAAAACGCAAGAAUAGCGAAGACCAAAAACCCUCUUUUUGAUAAAACUCAUUUUUCUCAAAAACCGUGCAUCGAAUCGGAAAUCCAUCAGUGCCAUUAGUUCCAGAAUAGCUGAUCCGAUCGAAACGAGCUAUUGGACCGCUAUGAACGGAGUCCGAUACGCGCCGAAAGCCAACUCUACUCCGUGGCUUCACCGGAAAACCGGAGUUACUAUUCACUUAAGUGAAAACUAAUAAUCGCGUAACUUCUCCGUUUUAGCUCAUUUUCUCCUGAAACUUGACGAGUGCUUAUGUAAUUAAAUUACACACAUAAACAUCGUCAACAGAGAGUUUAGUUGCACUGUAAAAAUCUCAGUCCUUACAUUGAAUCUCAGAUAUUACAACAUACCCUUAGCCUUAAAUUAUCCAGGAACUAAGAAGAGCUAAAAUCUCAAAUGGAAGAAAAAUUAUUGCAUGCACUAGAUAAAUAAUUACACCUCACAGGCCACAUCCGAAGAUCCCUAUGAUAGACGUCUCAAAACCAAGAUUAUCAUCUAACUCAUUGGACGUGUUUUAUAACAUUUCAAAUACCUAGGUAUCAUAAACUAAUAUAUUUUAUGUUACAUUUGCUCAGAUAGGAAGAAGAAGAUUAGAAAUGGAAGUAGGAGUAGAGUGAGUAAGGGAUUCAAUAAAGAGAGAAGAAAAGGGGCAUAGCUUUUCCUUACUGAGGCUUUAGAUUUGAGUAGGUCGGCCAGGGAGAUCAAGAGGUUAGGAGUAGCCUCCCCAGGCGAGCGCAGCACGAAGGCUUCAAGAACUUGAUUAAUUAGCCUCUCUCUUUUUCUUGCUGUCGUACGGCCUCAAGAGGAAAAGACCGGCCACCUUUUAAUUAGACUUUCUAAUUAAUUUUUGGCCACCACACUUUCAAGCCGUACGGUUCCCAUGCAUACAUAUACAUGUAUGCAUUAGUUAAACCCUACUCUAAUUCAAUGUAAUCAUUGAAUAUAGAGUCUUGAAUGGAAACCAAUCCUAGUCCACUUAGGUUCCAACUUAAAUUAGGAUCCACCAAAAAAAAUCCUCAUGAGAUCCUUUCUAUUUUUUUCGAUAGACCCGGUGCAUCGACUAAACCAAUAAAAAAAGAAGGCAUAUCUUUAACAACUUUCUAAGAUCAAAAAAGGUGUUAUCGGACGGAAUCAAAUUGCUAAACCAAAAAAAAAAUAAAGAGUAAUAAACUAAGGCUUCUUGCUUUCUUGUUCUUAUUUGCCUUAUUUGUUCUUUCUAUUUUGCUUGUGAAUUUUGUCUAUUCAAGGUCGAAAUCGAGGAUUCGAGAUGGAGAGCUCUUACCAGCGGAUCAGAGCACCUAAUCGAGAAGCGGCACUACUGAGAGUUCCGAUCGGAUAGCUGGUUAGAGGACCACCCUCCUGGGGCCGAGGAUGUCAGCGUCGAUAAGGGACGAUCACGGUACAGGAUAAGCGAGGUCGUAUAUAGUGAAUCGGAAGAAACGGUAGGCUAUUAGGGGAUGGCAUUGGAGCUUCGAGAGGACGCGGAGGAAGAAGGAGAACGGGAGGAGUAGAGGUCGAGGAGAGGGUGAUGAGAGCGAGCGCGAGAGAGACCCCGGGAGGGAUUUUUUUUUUUUUUUGAGAGAGAGAAAGGUAGCAUGCUACCCGUUUUAUUUACAUUUUUAGAAAUAAACUUAGCUAAAAAUGUGAAUCAAUUAGGAUUCGAACUUGGGACCUCGAGUACCAACCACCAAGGGCAUGUUUGUUUGGGUGGAAGUAGGGUGGAAGUGGAGAGGAGGGAAGUUGUUUUCGCCCUAAAUAACCACUUCCGUUGUUUGGUUCGCCGUAAAAAAGUUACGGUCAAAACUCGAGUUAACCUCAAAUGGCGUAAUUGACUUCGCCCUAUCGUGGGCCGAAGUAAAUUACGGUGAAAAGAAAGUGAAGAAAGAAUAAUAAAAUAAUAUAAUAGAUAAAAAUAGUUAUAUUUAAAUAUAUUUAAUUAUGUUAUUAAUUAUUUUCUUAUUCAGUUAACAUCUAAAAUAUGAUAAAAAUUAAUUAGUUAAGUUUUAAUAUUUUCUUUAUUUAGUUUGUAUAUUUAAAUAUGAUAAAAAUUAAUUAAUUAAGUAUUAAUAUUUUUUUACUUUAUUAUUUUAUUAUUGUAUUACUAUGAUUUAUGUAUAAAAAAUAAUUUAGUUGUUUUAAAUUAAAUUUUAAUUAUAUAAAAAUAUAAUUAUAUUAUUUUUAUUUAUAAAAUAUUUAUUAUUUAUAUAUAAAUUAUAGUUUAAUAUCGUACACUUCCUAUCAAACAAACAGCAGAACUGAUGGAACUUCAUUUUCAUAACUAUGAAACAAACAGUAGGAAAGAAGUAGUUUUCACCGAACUCCACUUUAACCCAAAGUCCAGUUUCGGUGAAACAAACAUGCCCCAAAGCCCUUUGCCACUUAUGCUAGAAGAAAUUUUUUUUUUAGAGUAGGGGGUGUGGGGGUGUUUAAUAGAAAAAUAUUUUAUUAUAUUUUUUAUUGACCAUUAAUAAAUGAUGCAGUGUGAUUGAUACAUAUCUCGAUUUGAGGAGGUGGAGAGAGGGGGAGUAGUUGGGAAAAGAAGGGUACAGGACGGGGUGUUGCGAGGUGCAUUCGUGUAAGGUCGACGCAGGGGAGCGGCACGGUGGAACGACCCAGCCAGAUGUGAUCGGGAGCUGUAAUGGGACUUAAAAUAGAUAUAUUUAAUAUACAGUUAUUAGACGGUAACAAUACAUAGGUUAAACUAAUGCACCUGGAUAUAUAAUUUCAUAAUAAAUGAUAGUCUAUUCGACAAUUGUCGCUAUUAAUUUGCCACUUAAUAUCUAUAUUGUUGUAAAUGGAUGCACAUAAGAUGUAUACUUGAACCGAUGAAAAAUGACUCAUUUUCAAAUUAUUAAUAACAUUAUAUUGUUGGUACAAUCUUUUUGAUGCUUAAAUAAGCGAAAUUAUUGCAAGUUAAUAAGAGUUCAUCACGAAGAACAAACAAUUUCCAACUGAUUAAAAUAUGGUAUCUGCCUCUUCAGUAUAGCUUUGCUUCAUGCUUUUCCAAUGUGAAAGGAAAAAUGAAAAAGAGUCAUCAUGAAGAAAAAAUAAUUUCCAGCUGAUCAAAAUAAUGUAUCUGUCUCUUCCGGUAUAGUUUUGCUCCACGAUUUUCCUAUGUAAAAGGACAAAUAAAUAGAAUAAAUUAGAAUCAAUAACCUAGAAAGUAAUUGUAAAUAAAAUAACAAAGCAACAUACCAUAAUAUAUUCGUUCCAUUCAGCAUCGGUAGCAAUUACUGAAUGAUUUUCAUCAUCCCAGCCAAACUUCGGAUGCUUCCUCAUAUUGCUCACUAUUUGAUAUUCCUUCUUGUAAAAUUUCAGACGCUUUUCCAAAUCAUUAAUAUUACAUCUCAAUCCAGUUGCUUCUCUAAACUCUGCCAUAAUGUUAUGCCAAACAUUUUCUUUAAAGUCUUCUCCGUUUUUCCCACCAUUAAGAGUAUGCUCCACCAUCAAAUCAAGAAGUGUUAUAUCAUACUUUUUUUCCCAAAUGACUAAAGGCUGAUCAGUCAUCAUGAUCUUUUUCCUCGAUACUAUUUUACGAUGCUCUAUGCUAUAAAAAUAAGAAUCAAAAGAGAAGCGAAUCAAUAUCCAUUGCUAUCAUUCUAUAAUCAAAAAGAGGCAUAUUCUUGUUCUUAUUUGCUACAAAAAAUUAUAUAAGAACUCCAAGUUACUGCUAUUGAUAUAGGAAAUAUCAAUUUUCAUUUAAUAAUGAACAACAAAAUAAAUUUUUUAAUUAUAAAGAGAUAAACAAAUCUAUAGUUUCCCAAUUUUGUUAAGAGUUGAUUACAUUUGAAACUACAAGACAGCAUAUUAAACAAAAGUUAAAUAUAAUAGAUUUAAGAAGAAUCUUUUUUUGAUUAAACAAUGGUAUUCCCUAUUUUAGAGAACAGAGUUGGCGUCGGCUAAAGAAAGCCUACUCGCCUACAUCAACAGGUGAAACAAGAGGAAAGAAAAUCAAAACAAAAUAGGAGAGAGGCCAAAUAUGCCCAACAAAACUUAAAGCGAGCAGAUUAGGAAACCAAAAUGAUGACGCAAACACCUAGCCGACGCCCAAGUCGCAGUCUUAGAGUCAAGUCCCUGAAUAAUCAUAAUUUGAACUGAAACACAAAUUUCACUACAUAUAACUCAUUCAAUAAUCAUAAUUUGACUAAAAUCAUUAUGAAUUUAUUGCAAGUCACUGAGUAAACUUUUGAUAGCCAUAAAUAGAAAAUACCUUCCAUCUUCUCUUUGUCAUCACUUAACCUCUUUUUUGAGAUUUCGAAAUAUAGGUUCUCUCUACAUAUACAAUUUACAAAUAAUAUUUAGGAAAACUUUAGAUAUACCCUUGUGGUUACUGUAUUCUUUACUUUAGUAUCUUGUGAUUUUAACUGUAUCAAUUAAAUAUCCUAUGGUGUUAUUUUCGUUUUUCGCUAUACUCCCGUAAUUUUUUCUGUUAAAGUAUCAUGUGUCACGUACGUGAUCAUCAAAAAUGUGGCGCAAAGAUCAGCAGGAACAACAUGAGACCCUCUAAGAACAAUCAGGUAAAGCCCAAUGAGGUGCCAUAUUGUUUUUAUCAACCUUUGUGGCCAUUUUUGAUGAUCAUGUGCUGACACAUGACACUUUAGCGAUAGGGGUGGCAAUCCAGCUUGCUAUUCGUAAGCCAGCUCGUGUUCGGCUCGAAAUGAGCUCGAGAUCGAAUCGCUCGUUUAGUAAACGAGCCAAACACGAGCUAAAUUAUUCAGCUCGUUAAAUAAACGAGCUGAACAUGAGCUGGGGUUAGCUCGCUCGUGUUUGGCUCGAUAACAGCUCGAAUACAUAUGUAUAUUUUAUAUUUAUAUAAUUUAUUUAAUUUAUAUUUAUAUAUAUAAAUAAAUAAUUAUAUAUAUUAUAUAUUUUUAUUAUUUUAUUUUUAGCAAAAUAAAAAUAUAAAGUCGAGCUCAAUUAUAAAAAGAUUCAUUUAUAUGUAAAGUUUUAACCAUGUGAUCAAAUUCUAAUAGGUAAGACUUUAUAAAUUUAAUUUUUAUAUAUAUCCAAUCUAAUCCUUUUAACUUAUUGUUCGUUGGUCAGCUCGUGAGCCAGCUCGUGUUCGGCUCGUUAAUGCUCGUUUAUUAACGGGCCGAACACGAGAUGAAUUUUUCGGUUCGAUACUUUAAUUUAGCCGGCUCGUGUUCAGCUCGUUUAUUAAACGAGCCAAACACGAGCCGGCCCCAGCUCGCUCGUGCUCAGCUUGUUGACACCCCUAAUUAAUACAUAUUAUUUGUACUUACAUUUUAUAAUCAAUUAUACUUACAUAUUAUAAUAAAUUAUUUUUAUUAAAUUUAUUUUUAAGUACAAUUUGAAAAAAAAAAAGAAAAUAGUAUUAUAUUUUAAAUGUUCAUUUACAUAAUAUAUUUCAUAUCAAAUUUGUUGUGAAAUAUUAAUCAUAUUUUAUAUCAAAUUCACAUCACUUUUUUUCACUAUCCUCUAUUAUUCUAUAAAAUUAACCAAACACAAUUUGAGUUAUUUCUAAGAAUCUAUACAAUUCCAUUAAAGGGUGAACCUUGAACUGGUCUCUCUGUGAUUUCGGAGUUGCGGGUCCCACAAGAUACUGUUUCCUCUCUCCCAUCCUCUUCUUUGUAGGCCUCUCAUCCCUAUCAUUCCCUCCUCUCCCUCUCUCAUCAUGUAAUAUACCAAAUUUCCAAUAGGAUGUACCGAAAUUCAGUCAAAUGGACCGAAGUGUGGUAGUGGACAAGAUGGUGAGGUCCGUGAGACGUUCCGAAUGUUUCGGAAUGGUUUGGAUAGGUAUUUGGGACCUUGGAGAGCAAAUCGGAAAGUUUUGAGUCAAUUGAGAGUGUUUUUGCUCUUGGGGUCCGGACCUUGGCAGCAAGGUCCGGACCUUGGCAGCAAGGUCCGGACCUUAGCUGCGAAACUGUGAAAAUUGCUCUCGGGGUCCGGACCCUGAGUGCAAGAUACGGACCAUGAACACGCAGAAAUUCUGGAUGGUCCAAAAUAGCAAUUUUGUGAGGGCCCUUGGUGCAAUUGUCAUUAAGGAGGCUUUAUAUAAGGGCCCUAUGCCCUUAGUUCUCAUUUUCCUUUGUAUGAGACCAAAGAGAAAAGCUCUUUUUCUCUCUCUAGAAGCUUCUCUCACUCUCUACUCUCUCCCUUUCUCUCUUUCUCUUUUUAGAGUUUGCUCCAAGAGUGGAGCUUGGAGGAGAAGAAGGCUUGCUUAGGGGUGAAGCUUGGCUCUUGUGCUUGACUGGAGGAAGAAGCUAGAAGUUGAGGUGAGUCUAUGUAAAUAUGAGCUAGGGUUUGGUUAGUUUCCUUCUAGAUGAUGUUUCUAGGAGAUGCUAGGUUGGAUUAACUCAUGAAUUCCUAAGAAAUUUGGGUAUUAUAUAAUAAUAGAACCCUAGGGUCAAAAAUGGGGUUUUGUAAAGUAUGAGAUCUAAUAUGGAUUUGAUCUCUUGUAGCCCUAAUUGGAGUAUAAACCGACGCGUUGGGAGACUCGGAUCGAAGUUCCGACGAGUCUACGUCGAGUUAUUGGGGAAAAACCUCAUUUCGGCUUCGUUUGCCGUGGGUCGAGGAAAAUCGGCGACCAUAAAUCGUGAAACUUGAGUUUUAGCCUUCCGGCAUCACUACGAGGUGAGUGGUGCUAUUCGAACUCUUCGAAUUUCUCAUUAUGUCUAUGUCGCCUUUUUGAGCAUAUAUGUACACAUGUGGCAUUUAUGCAUUGUAGGGUUAUUGUGAUGUGUGGCUAAGUGGUGGGAUCUCUUGUAUGCUUUUCAUUGUAAAAAUACAUGUGAGAUGAUAAUGGACCAUGCAUAUGGAAACCCUAUAAAUGUAUGAAUUGAGUGUUGGACUAUGACAAUAGUAAACAAGGUGACAUUGUGACUAGAGGGAAUGAAUAGUACCUAAAAACAUGGUAUGCUAGACAAGAUAAAACCUUAUGAGCAUUGUGGCAAUAAUGGCAAGAUAUCAUCAAAGUUGAGGGUUGGAUUAUACUCACAGUUGGUCUAUUAUACUUGAGGGUGGUCGCUCCACCUCAAGCGGCGAGCUCCGGAGUGGUCACCAACUGGGUUGUAGUGGAAUUCUCUCCAGUAGACGGUCCCGUCGGGUUGUAACGGAAUUCUCCCCGACAGAAAGGGAUUUAGUUGGUGAGUUGGGGUUAACCAUAGGUUAACCAAGAGGAUUGGGUAAAGGCAAAGGUAAAAGUGAAUUGCAUGCAUCAUGAGCAUAUUACUUGUUGUUCAGUUCUUGUACAGGCAUUGUAGUAGCAUUAGUAUGGUUUGCUAUCUAUCUCUUCUUUUCUACAUAUGCCUGAGUAGACCUAGUGGGUGAGUCGGCGGGGUCGGCGGCCGAACCUACUGAAAACUUUCAUUAGUUCUCACACCACUAACCUUGCAGAUCCUAACGCGAGCGGGGCGGUCGAGGAUCGAGGCAAGGGCAUCGCGCCCUAGAUAGCGGGCUUCCCGAGUAUAGCUUGUACCUUAUUCCCUUUCAUCUUUUGUAUAUGAUGAAAAGUGUGAUGUAAAUGGACAUGUAAUAAAUGAGCCAAAGGGUUAUGUGGUACAUGUUUUGGUGAAACACAUGUUAUGUAUUUGGAAAAAUGGAAGUAAUUUAUGGCAAACUUGUAUUUGGUUAAAUAUAAUCAAGAAACAUGUGUGGAUGUAAUAGUAGUAGUACUUUCACUUGCUAGGUGGUCGCUGGCCCUUGUGCAAGCUAUGUAUAUCUGAAUUCUUCUUGUAUGAAUUGUUAUACAUGUUGAUGUUGAGUUGAGCCUUGGGCGGACAAGGGAGUUGUUGUCCGUUCGGCAUCUGUGGACGUACCCAAACUGUCACGCCCCGAACCGCAACCAAUUUGGUCGAUCCGGGCACGUCGAACAGACGCCGAACGGAGAACACCUCCCCUGUCCGUCCAAGGCUCAACGACCAGAUCAAGUACAAUCAAGCGCCUAGGAAAAAGCAUAAUACACAUACAUGAUCUAGCAAGCGAUGAUACAAGCACCACAAGUGCUAAACAAGUAAGAGCAAGAAUCACAAGUGUAUACAAGUGAAUAAAAGAGAGAACAUUCUAUCUAUUACAUCACAUUGAACCAUAAUUGAUUUACAUUUACAUCUCCAAAAAUAUGGAUACAAGUUCAUCAACAGCUCUCCAAAAACAUCUCACAUCCUAUACAUCAUCUACGCUUAUGUACAUAGGUGUCUCUAAUGCAAAAGGAAAGUCACUACUACUAGGGCGCCAUGCCCUUACAGCGAUCCUCGCCCGGAGCGCUCGAACUCGGCCCUGCAACAAAGUGGGGUGAGAACUAUACAAAUAUAGUUCCCAGUGGGUUCGGCUGCCGACUCCGCCGAUCUUCCCACUAGGUCUAAGCAGGCAUAAGCAGAUAGAUAGAUAUGGAAGCAACAGUAACAUAGUAAGGAAAUGUACAAAUACUCUACUAUGCCUCAAUCAACUAGGAUGAAUGCAUGCGCUACAUAGUAAGUAAACUAGCUAUCAUGCUACUAUGUUCAACAAACAAUGCCAUUCAGUAGUUCACCCAAUCACUUGGCUAACUCGAAGGUUCGCCCUCAACUCACAUCUCAAGUCUCUUCAAGUGGGAAGCUACCCAGCAUUUACCCCACCCAAGACCGUCUGCGGAACAGCUAGCUACUGCCCCUAGUGUGACCGCCUCCAGAGUGCACUAAUGGGGGGAGCGACCACCCCUAAAACAACAGGCUAUGUGAGUACGAUCCAAUCCUCGUCAACUGAGGAUAUCCUGUCAACUAAGGUUAACAUCCACACGGGAAUCCAUCUAUCCCUAUGUUCAAUAUCAUAGUGUCUCAUGCAACAUCUCACCACUAGGGAAUCCACCUAUCCUUCGGUUUACAAGUGUUUUUUACACUAAGUUUUCAUGCCACUCGUCAUGUUAUUUACACUAUUACAUGCCACUCGUUAUGUCGUUGCACAACCAUCAAGUUCAUCUCUCGUCUCGGCACUAUAGGAUUUCAACAUCAAGACCCAAUCCCUACUUAUCCACUAUAUCAUGUAUUCCACUCGUACUAUGAUAUCAACUAGGAAAGCAUAAGGGAUGGAAAUGCAACACAAUCCUACAAUGCAUAUAUGUAAGAGAUGCAAGAUCAAUAGUGUACAUAGAAUGAAGCCCGGUUGCUUCGGAAUGGCACCCCCCACCUUUUGGUGAUGCCGCGACUCUAGGAACACAAUUCGGCGAGUCUUGGAAGCCUACGCCGCGAGCUGCGGUAAUAUGUACCGAAACAAGCUCCUUGCUUGACUUCUUCACGCACACUCGUCGGAUUGCCGAACCGAGCGCACCAACGCGUUAAAAUACCUAGCAAUUAGGUUUAGACAUGAUCAAUUUAGAUCAAUACCCAACAACUCACAAAACCCUCAUUUUGAAGCCCUAGAUGAUAACUAUGCAAGAAUCCAUCAAAUAACCUCUAGAUUCAAGCAUCAAUCAACUCCUUAGCAUGCUAGGGUUCAACCAAAACCAAUUCUAGAGUAUAUUAUCCAAACCCUAGAAAUCUACCAUUAAUGGACCUCAAGCUUACCUCAAAAGCCAUGCUCCAAUUAAGGAAGAAGAUGAAGAAGGAGAUGACCCUUCCUCAAGCUUCAAUCUCCACCAACUCCUUCUCCUCCUUUCUAUCUUUAAGAGAGAGAAAUAGAGCUUAAAGAGAGAGAGAGGCUUGGUUUAGGGCACCAAGGGGAGAAAUGAAAGAGAGAGAGAGCUAUCUCCCAUCUAUACCCCUUCACAUGUGCAUAUUUGCACAAAACACCCCUCACUAUCCAAGUUGUGCACUGCCCCAGCCUGGGCAUUUUCGGGCUACGGGAACCGGUCCCUCUAGAGGAGGACUGGUCCCCGAGAGCAAGUUUUCACAAGGUAUCACUCUGCUGCCACUUCCCACACAUACGGGGUCCGGUCUCUUAUUGGAGGGACCGGUCCCCGAGAGCAGAAUUUUUGUGCGCAGAGAAUUUCUGCCACACCAAGCUACGGGUAUCGGUCCCUCUCGCCAGGGACCGGUCCCCGAGAGCAAAUUCAGCAAUUUUGCAGAGUUGCACUAUCUUGCUCUUUGAGACCUUCUACAACGCACUUUAUGCAUUUUCGACGCCUUCGGCCUUUCCGAAGUGUCCCAAUCCAACACUAGGUAGAUUUUGACUGAAGUUCAACUUUCGUAUUUCGAGAAUUCACUUCCUUACAUCCUCCCUUCUUAAAAGGAGUUUCGUCCUCAAAACGAACUCAAAUCCAAACCCAUACCUCAAUUCACUCCUCGAAAAGAUGAGGAUGAUGCGCUCUCAUCAUUUCCUCGAGUUCCCAGGUGGCUUCGCAAUCGUCGUGAUUGCUCCACCGAAUCUUGACGUAGGGAAUCUUGCGAUUUCUCAACUUGCGCACCUCUCGAGCGAUAAUCGACACCGGAAACUCUUCGUAGCUCAUAUCUUCUUGAAGUUCCGGUGGUUCAUACAACAAAGCGUGGUCGGGGUCGUGAAUAUAUUUGCGAAGGUUAGAGACGUGAAACACAUUAUGAACGUCCGCGAGCUUCGGCGGCAACGCAAGUCGAUAAGCCACUAUGCUAAUCCGCUCCAACACCUCGUACAGCCCAAUGUACCAGAGGCUCAACUUUCCCCGCACUCCGAAUCGCUUUACGCCCCUCAUGGGCGAUACCUUCAAGAAGACUGUAGCACACUGGACCUGUGCAAAUUGCGAGGUUCGAGUGAUUGGAUGUGUUCCGAGCUGUUCCAUACUUGGUGGAGGGUCGUAGAAUGUUUUCCGACCUAAAAAGUUCGAAAACCUGAGUUCUGGACGAGUCCUGAGAGUUUUUACUCUCGGGGACCGGUCCCUGAUAGGAGAGACCGGCCCCCUCAGCACAGUGUCGCGGCCAGCCUGAGGCAACCGGUCCCUGGCAGGGAGAGACCGGUUCCCAAACGUUGGAUUUUCGGGGCAGGCCGAGAGACCGGUCCCAUGUCGGAGAGACCGGUCUCAGUCCGAAAACUGCCCAGACCCGGGUGUGCACAGAAUGAUUUUUUGGGGGACCUAAGUGGAUUUUGUUACCUUAGAUGCUAUAGAGAGCCUCUCCUCUCCCUCUCACUUAUAUUCCCUCUCCCUCACACUCCCCCUACACUUCUAAAGAGAGAAGAAGAAGGAGAAGAAGAAGGAGAAGUUGGAGAGCAAGCUUGAGGGAGCCUUGGAGCAUCUUCCUCUUUCCCAUUUCUCACUUUUGGAGGUUUGGAGCUGGGACUUGGAGCUUUGUGGUGGAUUAAUCUUCAACCCUAGGGCAUUUUGAGCUUGGUUUGGAGCUACCAAGAAGGUUAGUUGUUUGUUUCUUCCCUUUAGACCAUGUUUUGUUGGUUUUUAAGAGAUGAAACCCUAGAAUGGGAUUUUAGGGUUAAUUUUGGGCAUUUUGAAUCUAGGGCUUUUGAGGCUCAAUUGAUUGGAUUAAAAUCUUCCUUUGGGUUGGAUUGGAAGGAUUCUAGCUCCCUUUUGGAGCUCGAGAGAGAUUUUUACUCCCUAGGUGAGUUUUUGCCCCUUUGCUUGUGGUGGUUAAUAUUUGAGCCUAGAGUUGUUCGUAACGUUUGUUUAUCUCUUCGGUCCUUACUUUUAGGGUACUUAGAGACUUGUGGACAACUCCGUUCGGCGAAGCGAAGG
rnacentral:lncRNA from 1 species